CUUUGAACGCACCUUGCGCUCCUUGGUAUUCCGAGGAGCAUGCCUGUUUGAGUGUCAUU
rnacentral:rRNA from 1 species